rnacentral:rRNA from 1 species
GACGAACGCUGGCGGCGUGCUUAACACAUGCAAGUCGAACGGAAAGGCCCUGCUUUUGUGCGGUUCUCGAGUGGCGAACGGGUGAGUAACACGUGAGUAACCUGCCCUUGACUUUCGGAUAACUUCAGGAAACUGGGGCUAAUACCGGAUAGGAGCUCCUGCUGCAUGGUGGGGGUUGGAUAGUUUCGGCGGUUGGGGAUGGACUCGCGGCUUAUCAGCUUGUUGGUUGGGUAGUGGCUUACCAAGGCUUGGACGGGUAGCCGGCCUGAGAGGGUGACCGGCCACAUUGGGACUGAGAUACGGCCCAGACUCCAACGGGAGGCAGCAGUGGGGAAUAUUACACAAUGGGAGGAAGCCUGAUGCAGCAACGCCGCGUGCGGGAUGACGGCCUUCGGGUUGUAAACCGCAUUCGCCUGUGACGAAGCGUGAGUGACGGUAAUGGGUAAAGAAGCACCGGCUAACUACGUG